rnacentral:pre_miRNA from 1 species
UUGUCACCUGGAGUUCUCCUCAAUCUACUUCAGUAGCUACACACGUUUCAUGGCAAUGUCUACAUGUUUGUGUGCAUGGGGCCGGAGUUGUGUACAUACUGAAGUGUUUGGGGGAACUCUGGGUGGCAA